GCGUUUUUCGCCCAGGCGGAGCUCGACCGCCGCAUCAAGAACUGAGGGCCUUCGUUGCACAGCACCGCCAUCAGUGGGGUGUCGAGCCCAUCUGCCAAGCUCUGGAGAUGGCACC
rnacentral:ncRNA from 1 species